GACGAACGCUGGCGGCGUGCCUAAUACAUGCCAGUUGAGCGCUGAAGGUUGGUACUUGUACCGACUGGAUGAGCAGCGAACGGGUGAGUAACGCGUGGGGAAUCUGCCUUUGAGCGGGGGACAACAUUUGGAAACGAAUGCUAAUACCGCAUAAAAACUUUAAACACAAGUUUUAAGUUUGAAAGAUGCAAUUGCAUCACUCAAAGAUGAUCCCGCGUUGUAUUAGCUAGUUGGUGAGGUAAAGGCUCACCAAGGCGAUGAUACAUAGCCUACCUGAGAGGGUGAUCGGCCACAUUGGGACUGAGACACGGCCCAAACUCCUACGGGAGGCAGCAGUAGGGAAUCUUCGGCAAUGGACGAAAGUCUGACCGAGCAACGCCGCGUGAGUGAAGAAGGUUUUCGGAUCGUAAAACUCUGUUGGUAGAGAAGAACGUUGGUGAGAGUGGAAAGCUCAUCAAGUGACGGUAACUACCCAGAAAGGGACGGCUAACUACGUG
rnacentral:rRNA from 1 species